rnacentral:rRNA from 1 species
UCCUACGGGAGGCAGCAGCAGGGAAUCUUGGGCAAUGGGCGAAAGCCUGACCCAGCGACGCCGCGUGGAGGAAGAAGUCCUUCGGGGCGUAAACUCCUGGACUGGGGGACGAGGAAGGACGGUACCCCAGUAGAAAGGGACGGCUAACUACGUGCCAGCAGCCGCGGUAAAACGUAGGUCCCGAGCGUUGUUCGGAUUCACUGGGUGUAAAGGGCGCGUAGGUGGUUGUCUGUGUCUCAUGUGAAAACUCAGGGCUCAACUCUGAGAUUGCGUGGGAAACUAGGCAGCUAGAGGACGGUAGAGGGGAGUGGAAUUCCCGGUGUAGCGGUAAAAUGCGUAGAUAUCGGGAGGAACACCGGUGGCGAAGGCGGCUCUCUGGGCCGAUCCUGACGCUGAGGCGCGAAAGCUAGGGGAGCGAACCGGAUUAGAUACCCGGGUAGUCCUAGCCGUAAACGAUGGGUGCUAGGUGUUGGGGGGUAAAGACCCUUCAGUGCCGAAGCCAACGCGAUAA